UACGUAGGGGGCAAGCGUUAUCCGGAAUUACUGGGUGUAAAGGGAGCGUAGACGGUAAUGUAAGUCUGGAGUGAAAGGCGGGGGCCCAACCCCCGGACUGCUCUGGAAACUAUGUUACUGGAGUGCAGGAGAGGUAAGCGGAAUUCCUAGUGUAGCGGUGAAAUGCUUAGAGAUCAUACAGAACACCGAUUGCGAAGGCAGCUUACCAAACUAUAUCUGACGUUGAGGCACGAAAGCGUGGGUAGCAAACAGG
rnacentral:rRNA from 1 species